rnacentral:rRNA from 1 species
GGAGUCGCUCCCAAGGGUUGGGCUGUUCGCCCAUUAAAGCGGUACGCGAGCUGGGUUUAGAACGUCGUGAGACAGUUCGGUCCCUAUCCUCUGUGCGCGUAGGAAACUUGAGAAGUGCUGCCCCUAGUACGAGAGGACCGGGGUGGACGAACCUCUGGUGUGUCAGUUGUCCUGCCAAGGGCACGGCUGAUUAGCUACGUUCGGAAGUGAUAACCGCUGAAAGCAUCUAAGCGGGAAGCACGCUUCAAGAUGAGGUUUCCAUGAACUUCGGUUCGAGAGGCUCCCGGGUAGACUACCGGGUUGAUAGGCCAGAUGUGGAAGUGCAGUAAUGCAUGUAGCUGACUGGUACUAAUAAGCCGAUAACUUGAUACACACAA